rnacentral:rRNA from 1 species
UACGUAGGUGGCGAGCGUUAUCCGGAAUUAUUGGGCGUAAAGAGCGCGCAGGUGGUUGAUUAAGUCUGAUGUGAAAGCCCACGGCUUAACCGUGGAGGGUCAUUGGAAACUGGUCGACUUGAGUGCAGAAGAGGGAAGUGGAAUUCCAUGUGUAGCGGUGAAAUGCGUAGAUAUCAGGAGGAACACCAGUAGCGAAGGCGGCUCUCUGGACUGUAACUGGCGCUGAGGCACGAAAGCGUGGGGAGCAAACAGGAUUAGA